AGACCUCGCCUUUCAGGCAUCCUCUCCUAAACUUUCAAAGGGUCGGCCCUCGGGUCGGCCCCUUUUUUUUGCCCAC
rnacentral:sRNA from 2 species